rnacentral:rRNA from 1 species
AGCCCUAAGUGGGUGGUAAACUCCAUCUAAGGCUAAAUAUGACCACGAGACCGAUAGCGAACAAGUACCGUGAGGGAAAGUUGAAAAGCACUUUGAAGAGAGAGUUCAAGAGUACGUGAAACCGUUUAGGGGUAAACCUGAGAAACCCGAAAGGUCGAAGGGAGAAAUUCAUUCGCGUUUCGUCGCAGGCGUCGAGCGGGAUCCUGUGUGACGGGGAGCGUUCGCGCGCUUCCCGCGCCUCCCGUUCUUCGAACCGGUGACGAACGCGUGCACUUUUCUCCUGGUAGGACGUCGCGAUCCGUUGGGUGUCGGUCUACGGUUCGCGGUGGAGCCCGUCCGUCGUAUUUCUCGUACGUACGAACGGACCCGCGUGUCCCGGCUGACUCGCUCGACGGUAUACGAAGGGUUUAAGGCCGCUCUCUUUAGGAGCGUUCGGCUCGAGGCAAGCGCGCCAGAUGCGUCGGCGAUCGGACCUAGUGCCGAUUCUGACCUCUGGUGACUGUUGGCCACGAAGUUCUCGAACAGACCUUAUCAGACCGAUCAGCGACGCUAUAGCUUUGGGUACUUUCAG